rnacentral:rRNA from 1 species
UUGAUCAUGGCUCAGGACGAACGCUGGCGGCGUGCCUAAUACAUGCAAGUCGAGCGGCAGAUAAGGAGCUUGCUCCUUUGACGUUAGCAGCGGACGGGUGAGUAACACGUGGCAACCUACCCUAUAGUUUGGGAUAACUCCGGGAAACCGGGGCUAAUACCGAAUAAUCUUUUGUCUCUCAUGAGNCAAUUCUGAAAGNCGGUUUCGGCUGUCGCUAUAGGAUGGGCCCACGGCGCAUUAGCUAGUUGGUGAGGUANCGGCUCACCAAGGCANCGAUGCGUAGCCGACCUGAGAGGGUGAUCGGCCACACUGGGACUGAGACACGGCCCAGACUCCUACGGGAGGCAGCAGUAGGGAAUCUUCCACAAUGGGCGAAAGCCUGAUGGAGCAACGCCGCGUGAGUGAAGAAGGAUUUCGGUUCGUAAAACUCUGUUGUAAGGGAAGANCAAGUACAGUAGUANCUGGCUGUACCUUGACGGUNCCUUAUUAGAGNGCC